CCUACGGUGGGCAGCAGUGAGGAAUAUUGGUCAAUGGACGCAAGUCUGAACCAGCCAUGCCGCGUGCAGGAAGACGGCUCUAUGAGUUGUAAACUGCUUUUGUACGAGGGUAAACGCAGAUACGCGUAUCUGUCUGAAAGUAUCUUACGAAUAAGGAUCGGCUAACUCCGUGCCAGCAGCCGCGGUAAUACGGAUGAUUCAAGCGUUAUCCGGAUUUGUGGGGUUUAAAGGGUGCGUAGGCGGUCGGAUAAGUUAGAGGUGAAAUCCCGAGGCUUAACUUCGGAAUUGCCUCUGAUACUGUUCGGCUAGAGAGUAGUUGAGGUAGGCGGAAUGUAUGGUGUAGCGGUGAAAUGCUUAGAGAUCAUACAGAACACCGAUUGCGAAGGCAGCUUACCAAGCUACUUCUGACGUUGAGGCACGAAAGCGUGGGGAGCAAACAGGAUUAGAUACCCUGGUAGUC
rnacentral:rRNA from 1 species